GACCAACGCUGGCGGCGUGCUUAAAACAUGCAAGUCGAACGAGACGAUUGAAAGCUUGCUUUCGAAAGUCGAGUGGCAAACGGGUGAGUAACGCGUAGACAACCUGCCUUUGAGAUGGGGACAACAGUUCGAAAGGACUGCUAAUACCGAAUGUUGUCUUUUUUCCACAUGGAAGAUAUAUUAAAGAUCUCCCAUAUUUAUAAGCUAUCGCUCAAAGAUGGGUCUGCGUCUGAUUAGCUGGUUGGUGGGGUAACGGCCUACCAAGGCGACGAUCAGUAGCCGGUCUGAGAGGAUGAACGGCUACAUUGCGACUGAGACACGGCCCAGACUCCUACGGGAGGCAGCGGUGGGGAAUCUUCCAUAAUGGGCGAAAGUCUGAUGGAGCAACGCCGCGUGAGUGAAGAAGGGUUUCGGCUCGUAAAGCUCUGUUGUCGGGGAAGAAUGUGCAGUAUUUGAAUAAAGUACUGUAAUGACGGUACCUGACGAGGAAGCCACGGCUAACUACGUGCCAGCCGCCGCCGUAA
rnacentral:rRNA from 1 species